AACGAACCAGUAGAGUAGAAACGAAGAACCGACUCUGAUAUGAUUACUACUCUCAGAAGUUACAGAGCUUUCUCUACUCGGACCCAAAUUUUCCUAUACCCUAAACCCAGUCGCUCCCCAAAAUCGUAGCUUCCCUCCAAAACCCGCAUUGCAAAACCCUAAUUCGUCGUUAUCGUCGGCAAUGACGAAGGUGUACGGAACAGGCGCGUACGAUCUCAAGCGCCACCAUGUUGCCGAGUACCCGGUGGAGCUGAACCACCAGCUCGGAGACAAGCCGGUGGAGGCUAAACCCGGUGCGGCGCUGCCGAGCUCGAUAACGCUGUCGGAGAUUGAGAGGGACCAGCUCACUAUGACUGCCGCUGCCAAUUGGUCCAAAGCCGGCGGGCAGGUGAAGAAUGGUUUGUGUACUUGAGGCCACUUGUUGCUGAUGUUGCUGUUGUUCCGAAAUGCCACUUGAGUGCUUUGUAUAUACAUGAAAAGAGGAAGCUCUUUACCCAACUUGUUGACUUGCUGCACUUUUAUGAAGGAUUUGAGAUUAAUGAUAAUGUUGGGAAACAAUUGACGGAUGAUGAAGUGCUCCAAUCUCAUUAUGAUCGCGUACAAUCUUUUCAGCUGCUUGCUUUUAAAAAAAUUCCUAAGUUGCAACAGCUUGCAUUGGUUCAAUUGACAACCGAAAUGAUCUCUGUGAAAGAUUGGCUGUACUUUCCCCUGAAGAAUUGAAGGAUUUGGUUUGUUCAAAGAUUCUAAUGAAAGUCAAGAAAGCAAACUUCAACUAAUGAAUCGAAGAAAACAUUGAAUACAAUACAGAGCAUUGUAUGAAAGUAAAACUGAAAACAGAGAGACGGGUGAGAGAAAAGGUGAAGCGGAAGUGAUAUGGUGGACGCGACUUAAGGAGGGGAGAAAAAGAGAUAAAAACAAGGACAGGAAGAGAGGGGUUAGGUGUACAAGUAAGUAUAUGAUGCUUAGCCUUAUGAUGGCAGGAAAGCUGAAGCCAACUGUUAUGCAACAAUCAGUAUUUGGGGGCCUUCUUCUGGAUUAUCACAAGUUCAUAGUGGUAUGGACAAUAUAAGCUUCUUCUUCCCAAAUGCGAAAAAACUAUUUCACUCAUUGCAGCGAACCAGUACCAAUUUAAUUUCUUUAUAUCUCGCAUGUAGAGCUAAUGAACUUUAAUGUUUCCAUAUUAUGCUGGACAUAAAUGAUCUUUCUGUUAGUUGCUAAUCAAAAAUCGCAGUUUUUUCACUGAAGAAGUUCUGUUAAAUCACCAGAUCACAUUGGAUCAUUCAUUUCUGAAUUAUUAUAAUAUGUUGCUAUGGUUGAUUUCCUGUCAUACAAUGAUCUUUACAAAAUUCUAUGAAAUUUAAAAGACAUGUAUGGAAUAUGACAAAUGAAGGGGAUUUUAGUAGAUCAAAAUGGCUGGUGUUCAUGUUAUGAGCUGUCUCUUCUCUGAGAACUGAUAUGUAUUCGCUUCCAUUUUUCAUAUUUAAUUACUUUUCACUGAGGAGAAACAUGGUCUGACUCUG